rnacentral:rRNA from 1 species
UACGAAGGGGGCUAGCGUUGCUCGGAAUCACUGGGCGUAAAGCGCACGUAGGCGGCUUUUUAAGUCAGGGGUGAAAUCCUGGAGCUCAACUCCAGAACUGCCUUUGAUACUGAGGAGCUUGAGUUCGGGAGAGGUGAGUGGAACUGCGAGUGUAGAGGUGAAAUUCGUAGAUAUUCGCAAGAACACCAGUGGCGAAGGCGGCUCACUGGCCCGAUACUGACGCUGAUGCACGAAAGCGUGGGGAGCAAACAGG